GUGUAGUCGGUAGUUGUGUGGUCAGUAGUUGUGCAGUCAGUAGUUGUGGACAGUAGUUGUGUGAUUGUGGUCAGUGGUUGUGUGAUCAGUAGUUGUGUGGUCAGUAGUUGUGUGGUCGGUAGUUGUGGUCGGUAGUUGUGGUCAGUAGUUGUGUGGGCAGUAGUUGUGUGGUCAGUAGUUGUGGUCGGUAGUUGUGGUCGGUAGUUGUGGUUGGUAGUUGUGUGGUCGGUAGUUGUGGUUGGUAGUUGUGUGGUCGGUGGUUGCGGUCAGUGGUUGCAGUCAGUGGUUGUGGGCAGUAGUUGUGUGGUCAGUAGUUGCGGUCGGUAGUUGUGGUCGGUAGUUGUGUGUUUGUGGUUGGUAGUUGUGUGUUUGUGGUCAGUGGUUGUGUGAUCAGUAGUUGUGUGGUCAGUAGUUGUGCGGUCAGUAGUUGUGGACAGUGGUUGUGUGGUCAGUAGUUCUGGUCAGUAGUUGUGGUCGGUAAGUGUGGUCGGUAGUUGCAUAGUCAGUAGUUGUUUAGCCAGCGGUUGUGUGGUUAGUUGUUGCGCGGUCAGUAGUUGAGGCCAGUAGUUGUGGUCAGUAGUUGCGUUAUUGUGGUCGGUAGUUUUUGGUCCGUAGUUGUGGUCCGUAGUUGUGGUCAGUAGUUGUGUGGUCAGUAGUUGCAUGGUCAGUAGUUGCAGUCAGUGGUUGUGUGGUCAGUAGUUGCUGUCAGUCGUUGUGGUCAGUUGUUGUGCUCGGUAAUUGUGGCCGGCAGUUGUUUGGUCAGUAGUUGUGUGGUCAGUUGUUGUGGUCAGUAGUUGAGUGGUUGUGUGAUUGUGGUCAGUAGUUGUGUGGUCACUAGAUGUUUGGUCAGUAGUUGAGUGGUUGUAGUCAGUAGGUGUGGUCGGUAGGUGUGAUCAGUAGGUGUGGUCUGUGGGUGUUUUCAGUAGGUGUGGUCAGUAGGUGUGGGCAGUUGGUGUGCUCGGUAAUUGUGGCCGGCAGUUGUUUGGUCGGUAGUUGUGUGGUUAGUAGUUGAUGUCAGUAGUUGUGGUCGGUAGUUUUGUAGUCGGCAGGUGUGGUCAGUAGGUGUGAUCAGUGGUUGUGUGAUUGUGGUCAAUGGUUGUAUGAUCGGUGGUUGUGCGGUCAGUAGUUGUGGUCAGUAGUUGUGGUCGGUAGCUGCGUGGUUGCGGUCGGUAGUUGUAUGUUUGCGGUCGGUAGUUGUGUGUUUGCGGCCAGUAGUUGCUCGGUCAGUAGUUGUGUGGUCAGUAGAUGUGUGUUUGUCAGCGGUAGUUGUGUGUUUGCGGUCUGUAGUCAGUAGUUAUGUGGUUGGUAGUUGCGUAGUCAGUAGUUGUGAGGCCAGCAGUCACUUUACUUUUGGUCAGGUAGUGUACCAUGGACAAAGACUGACACUUGUGUCGUUGAAUGUUGAUCCCGACUCCCGAGUAUUCUGUUUUUCAUGAAAACCUUUUCUUCUAAUGACAGAAGACGUGUUCGUUUCCGUUGCCGUUUCAACACCAGGGCUGCCGUGUCAACGCCAGGGGUGUUUUCAUCUCGUUCAUCUCCCCGUACUUCCCCUGAAUGAAUAGAUAGACAGCUGAGUGGAGGGCCACACUAAUGGAUUUGGGGCCCCGGGUACCUACAUCCAGGGUGGUUUCCGUUUCUCUUCCUUGUAUUCCAGGUCCUUAGUUUCUCCUUCUACCCUGAAAAGACGACAGACUUCUUCAGAUCUACAACAAGAUCAGGGCUGAACGCCCUGACACCACUCUCACGAGUCGGGGGAUUCCUUAAAGCUGAUGAUCGACUCUCAGAAAGGCAGCAACACAAAGACAG
rnacentral:lncRNA from 1 species